GGGGAUGUAGCAAAGAUGGUAAAAUGUUUAUUUAGCAUGCGAGAGGUCUCGGGAUCGAUUCCCUAUGUCUUCG